GACGAACGCUGGCGGCGUGCCUAACACAUGCAAGUCGAACGGAGCACUUCGGUGCUUAGUGGCGAACGGGUGAGGAAUACAUCGGAAUCUGCCCUGUCGUGGGGGAUAACCUAGGGAAACUUAGGCUAAUACCGCAUACGACCCACGGGUGAAGCGGGGGAUCGCAAGACCUCGCGCGAUAGGAUGAGCCGAUGUCCGAUUAGCUAGUUGGCGGGGUAAAGGCCCACCAAGGCGACGAUCGGUAGCUGGUCUGAGAGGAUGAUCAGCCACACUGGGACUGAGACACGGCCCAG
rnacentral:rRNA from 1 species